rnacentral:rRNA from 1 species
UACGUAGGGACCAAGCGUUGUUCGGAUUUACUGGCGUAAAGGGCGCGUAGGCGGCGCGGUAAGUCACUUGUGAAAUCUCUGAGCUUAACUCAGAACUGCCAAGUGAUACUGCAGUGCUAGAGUGUGGAAGGGGCAAUCGGAAUUCUUGGUGUAGCGGUGAAAUGCGUAGAUAUCAAGAGGAACACCUGAGGUGAAGACGGGUUGCUGGGCCAACACUGACGCUGAGGCGCGAAAGCCAGGGGAGCAAACGGG